rnacentral:rRNA from 1 species
GACGAACGCUGGCGGCGUGCUUAACACAUGCAAGUCGAACGGAAAGGCCCUGCUUUUGUGGGGUGCUCGAGUGGCGAACGGGUGAGUAACACGUGAGUAACCUGCCCUUGACUUUGGGAUAACUUCAGGAAACUGGGGCUAAUACCGGAUAGGAGCUCCUGCUGCAUGGUGGGGGUUGGAAAGUUUCGGCGGUUGGGGAUGGACUCGCGGCUUAUCAGCUUGUUGGUGGGGUAGUGGCUUACCAAGGCUUUGACGGGUAGCCGGCCUGAGAGGGUGACCGGCCACAUUGGGACUGAGGUACGGCCCAGACUCCUACGGGAGGCAGCAGUGGGGAAUAUUGCACAAUGGGCCGAAGCCUGAUGCAGCAACGCCGCGUGCGGGAUGACGGCCUUCGGGUUGUAAACCGCUUUCGCCUUGGACGAAGCGUUAGUGACGGUAAUGGGUAAAGAAGCACCGGCUAACUACGUG